GCCACCCAACUCUCAAUUGUAAUUGAGCUAUUAGUCUACUUAUUCCGAAGAGACUUCUUAUUUGUCCAAUAUUGUAUGCCGCACGCGAAUAGUGAUUUUGUGGAUGAAAAUUUAAAGUGAACUCAAAAUUGCCAAUCAAAUUAAUAACAAGUGAGUGCGCGAAUUUUUCGGUAUUUAUCGCGUUUUCACCAAUAAUACAUAAAAUAAUGUGCUUGAAACGACAACCACGUACCUUUGUAAUUAGUUUUUAACUUUUGGUGACUUGUGCUGUUUGCUGGACAGAUUUGCGCCUUUAUGUGUCGCUGUGUUGGUUUCUGGUGAGCUGGUGGUAAUAUGAGCGCUUUUGUGUUGUUGCCGCACCGUGUAUCUCGGUCCUUUGGCUCCUUAUUAUUUCGUAUGGACAGACGUCUGCUCGAUCAAGUGUAUUAAUCUGGGGCGUUUUUGUCUGGGGCGUGCUUCCGUGACCUUUUAAUAUAUAUAAAUGGUGGUUACUUUUAAUUCCGGCUCGAAGGACCAUGAACGAUCGGUGAACCAAUGGGUCGCAACUCCCGCAGUGGCACCAAUGUCAAUUGAAAAAAGAAAAUGGAAAAAACACAACCAAGUGUAUUAGUGUAUAAUAGCUUGAAUUUCAAGUGGCUUUAUUAUCAAAUAAAUCAGUGGGUGUACAAUGUGA